GCAAGUACAGCUUAAGCUCUAAAGUUACUUAGAUUUCCUUCUAUUCUUGAUAAGUUAUCUGCUGUACUCUCUGCAUAGCUGGAAACUAUGGUCAAAAGGGAAUAAAUCAUCAACUAUGUUUCUUGACUGUCCUGGGGAGCUAUGCAGCCUUCAGUGAAGAACAGGGAAUGGAAGCUGCUUGGGGAAUUCUUUGACUGACGAACACCUGCUGCUGCGGAGAGUAUCUCAAAUGUACACCACUCACAAAUCUCAGGAUAAAAUCAAAUGGGAUUCUGGAGAUGCCGUGCUCUACUACUCCACAGUGCUUCAUAAAUCAAUGUGAGAUGUGCCCAUGCUGAUUCACAUGGUCUGCAGUUGGCAUCUAUCAACAAAACUGCUACCUGCACCUUCAUUUGGAAGGAAUCCAGAGCAAUCACAAGGAAACACUUAGAGGAAUAGAAGAGAAAGAGAUGGGAUGUAUAUGGCAAGCCAGACUGGAAGGAGACCAGUAACAAAAUUCACCAAAAUAUCACUAAUGUCCUGGGGGUCACUGUCUCUUCAUACAGUGAAGGUAUCAACCGAUUCUUCUGCAACGUUAGAGUUGAAGAAUUUGCCUUAUUCUCAUCAUUUCCAACUGUCAGCUCUGCUCUGAGCCAUCUCUUUCAUCAGUGCUCUGAAUGCUGGAUGGAACACUCAGCAAGUCCAAUACAAGUUCUCCCCUGAAGUACAAAAAUAAAAAUUUGAACUGGAAAGAGAUUGGAAAGGUGAAAGUUGCGAAGAUGCCGUAGUGGCAAACCCACUACAGUUCUGAUGCAGAUGCCAAAGGCUCUGUGCCCUUCAAUCCCAUUAUUAGCAGGAACCUCCUUUCUCAGGAUAUGAAAGAAGAGGCAGAGGAACCUACAGCAGGCAAGGCAAGCUUUAGCCUAGAACAUGCAGUGGGAAAGUGAGAAGCAAGAUUUCUCUAAGUACUCUGUCCCCAUGGAUGCCUCUGUGAUUGAAAGAAGACUUCAGUGAACUGAAGAGGCAUGACUCUUCAGUGACAGAAUCUAUAGUACUGUGGUCCACCCAUACUGCAGACUUGACUCUCCAGAGGUCCCUUCCAGCUGCUACAAUUCUCUGAUUCUGCGAAAUCAUUGCAUUCCAGAGAAAGUGAACUGACAAAAAG